rnacentral:rRNA from 1 species
UACGGGGGGGGCAAGCGUUGUUCGGAAUUACUGGGCGUAAAGGGCUCGUAGGCGGCCAACUAAGUCAGACGUGAAAUCCCUCGGCUUAACCGGGGAACUGCGUCUGAUACUGGAUGGCUUGAGAUUGGGAGAGGGAUGCGGAAUUCCAGGUGUAGCGGUGAAAUGCGUAGACAUCUGGAGGAACACCGGUUGCGAAGGCAGCAUCCUGGACCAACACUGACGCUGAGGAGCGAAAGCCAGGGGAGCAAACGGG